UAAAAUAAUUAAGGGCACACAAAGGAUGCCUAGGUAGUAAGAGCCGAUGAAGGACGUGGUAAGCUGCGAUAAGCCUAGAUAAGUUGCAAUCGAACGUAAGAGUCUAGGAUUUCCGAAUGGAGCAAUCUAUUAAGAUGGAGUCUUAAUACGAAAGAGGGAACCGCGUGAACUGAAACAUCUAAGUAACGCGAGGAAAAGAAAGUAAAAACGAUACCCAAAGUAGCGGCGAGCGAAAUGGGUCAAGCCUAAACCUUAAAUAUGUCAAGGAUACAGCCGUUGUAUUUAAGGGGUUGAGGGACAGAGUAGUGAAGAACUGUAAGAUAUUCAAUAUAGUGUAUUGAUGAAUUGGAAUUGUCUGGAAAGGCGAACCGUAGAAGGUGAAAGUCCUGUACAAGUAAAUCCUUACACAUAUAACUCUGCUCCCAAGUAACAUGGAACACGAGGAAUUCUGUGUGAAUCUGUGAGGACCAUAUCUCAUAAGGCUAAAUACUCUUACUAACCGAUAGCGCAUAGUACCGUGAGGGAAAGGUGAAAAGAACCCCUGGAGGGGAGUGAAAUAGAACCUGAAAUUGUGUGCUUACAAGCGGUCAGAGCCAGUAAUGGUGAUGGCGUGCCUUUUGGAGAAUGAUCCUGCGAGUUACGUUAAACGGCGAGGUUAAGUAUAACGGAGCCGAAGGGAAACCAAGUCUUAAUAGGGCGAUUUAGUCGUUUGGCGUAGACGCGAAACCUGGUGAUCUAAACCUGUCCAGGAUGAAGCUGUGGUAAGACACAGUGGAGGUCCUAACCCACCGCCGUUGAAAAGUUGGGGGAUGAGGUAGGUUUAGGGGUGAAAAGCCAAUCGAACCAGGAGAUAGCUCGUUCUCUCCGAAAUGCAUCUAGGUGCAGCCUUGAGUGUUCAAUUAUGGGGGUAGAGCACUGAAUGAUCUAGGGGGCGUAUUGCUUACUGAAAUCAAUCAAACUCCGAAUACCAUAAUUUAGAGCUCAGGAGUGAGACUAUGGGAGUUAACUUCCAUUGUCGAAAGGGAAACAACCCAGACCACCAGCUAAGGUCCCUAAUUAUAACUAAGUGGGAAAGGAGGUGGAGAUUCACAAACAACUAGGAGGUUGGCUUAGAAGCAGCCAUACCUUUAAAGAGUGCGUAAUAGCUCACUAGUCGAGAGUCUCUGCGCCGACAAUGUAACGGGGCUAAGUUAUAAACCGAAGCUGUGGAAUCCGUAAGGAUUGGUAGGAGAGCGUUCUGUAGGCCGUUGAAGGAGAAGGGUAACCGACUCUGGAGGUAUCAGAAGUGAGAAUGCAGGAAUAAGUAGCGAGAAAGGGGGCGAGAAUCCCCCUCGCCGGAAGACCAAGGUUUUCAGGGUAAAGCUUGUCUUCCCUGAGUAAGCCGGGACCUAAGCCCAGGCUAUAAUGCGUAGGCGAAUGGAAAACAGAUUAAUAUUUCUGUGCCAGUCAUAUAUUGUGAUGGAGGGACGCAGAAGGGUAUGCGCGCGGACGAACGGAAGUGUCCGUAGAAGUAUGUAGGAUGACUUGAUAGGAAAAUCCAUUGAGUUAUAUCUGAGGUAUGAUAUACAGUCGUAAGAUGAAUGUGCAAAUCCCACGCUGCCAAGAAAAGCUUCUAACGUUAAUAUUUGACUGCCCGUACUGUAAACCGACACAGGUGGUCAGGAUGAGAAAUCUAAGGCGGACAGGCUAACUCUCGUUAAGGAACUCUGCAAAAUAACCUCGUAACUUCGGGAGAAGAGGAGCCCUUGGGUGUUAGUAUCCAUGCGUUACAAAGCACUCGAGGGUCGCAGUGAAGAGGCUCAAGCAACUGUUUAACAAAAACACAGGUCUAUGCUAAGCUGGAAGGCGAUGUAUAUGGGCUGACACCUGCCCAGUGCUGGAAGGUUAAGAGGAGGAGUGAGAGCUCCGAAUUGAAGCCCCAGUGAACGGCGGCCGUAACUAUAACGGUCCUAAGGUAGCGAAAUUCCUUGUC
rnacentral:rRNA from 1 species